UAUUGCUAUUAGAUGAGCCUAUAUUAGAUUAGCUAGUUGGUGGAGUAAUAGCCUACCAAGGCAAUGAUCUAUAGCUGAUCUGAGAGGAUGAUCAGCCACACUGGAACUGAGAUACGGUCCAGACUCCUACGGGAGGCAGCAGUGGGGAAUAUUGGACAAUGGGCGAAAGCCUGAUCCAGCCAUGCCGCAUGAGUGAAGAAGGCCUUUGGGUUGUAAAGCUCUUUUAGUGAGGAAGAUAAUGACGGUACUCACAGAAGAAGUCCUGGCUAACUCCGUGCCAGCAGCCGCGGUAAUACGGAGAGGGCUAGCGUUAUUCGGAAUUAUUGGGCGUAAAGGGCGCGUAGGCUGAUUAAUAAGUUAAAAGUGAAAUCCCGAGGCUUAACCUUGGAAUUGCUUUUAAAACUAUUAAUCUAGAGAUUGAAAGAGGAUAGAGGAAUUCCUGAUGUAGAGGUAAAAUUCGUAAAUAUUAGGAGGAACACCAGUGGCGAAGGCGUCUAUCUGGUUCAAAUCUGACGCUGAAGCGCGAAGGCGUGGGGAGCAAACAGGAUUAGAUACCCUGGUAGUCCACGCUGUAAACGAUGAAUGUUAAAUAUGGGAAGUUUACUUUCUG
rnacentral:rRNA from 1 species